rnacentral:rRNA from 1 species
CGUAUAUUAACGUUGUUGCACUUAAAAAGCUCGUAGUCAGACUUUCGAGGGUGCCCCUGACGUUUGGCACCGGUGAUGCAUUUGCUCGCCGUUCAUGCCCGCAGGGAGCCCCUCCUGGACCCCACCCGAUCACUGCGAGCCGCCCGCGCUUCACGGCCGGGCGCGCCUCGUACGGGUACGUUCCUGUGAGCAAAUCAGAGUGUUCCAAGCAGGCAUACGCCUUGCAUGGUUGAGCAUGGAAUAACGAUGCGGGACUCCGGUCGCGCUUUGUUGGUGUGGGCGCAUCGGAGGACACGGUUAAUAGGGAUAGUUGGGGGCAUUCGUAUUCAGGUGUCAGAGGUGAAAUUCUAGGAUUACCUGAAGACGAACUACUGCGAAAGCAUUUGCCAAGGAUGUUCCCAUUGAUCAAGAACGAAAGUUAGGGGAUCGAAGACGAUCAGACACCGUCCUAGUCCUAACCAUAAACGAUGCCGACUAGGGAUUGGAGGAUGCUCCAUUACAUGACUCCUUCAGCACCUUCAGGGAAACUAAGAGUUCUUGGGUUGUG